CCCAAACACACUGUGAUCUCCUCACUCCCCUCAGCCCCCAAAUACACUGUGAUCUCCUCACUCCCCUCAGCAUCCAAACACACUGCGAUCUCCUCACUCCCCUCGCAUCCAAACACACUGUGAUCUCCUCACUCCCCUCCGCCCCCAAAUACAGUGUGAUCUCCUCACUCCCCUCCGCCCCCAAAUACACUGUGAUCUCCUCACUCCCCUCGGCACCCAAACACACUGUGAUCUCCUCACUCCCCUCAUCAUCCAAACACACUGAGAUCUCCUCAUUCCCCUCAGCACCCAAACACACUGCGAUCUCCUCACUCCCCUCAGCACCCAAACUCACCGUGAUCUCCUCACUCCCCUCAUCAUCCAAACACACUGUGAUCUCCUCACAGCCCUCAGC
rnacentral:lncRNA from 1 species